UAUCGACUUGAGAGGGGAAUGUCCAGACAGGCGAAAGAUGCUGUCCGACAUGGUCUAGUGAUAUAUAGACAAGAAGAAUGACAAGGGAUGCCAACAGAUGCACACAGGCACGCAAAUGGCAAGCGCAGAGAACCGGAGGAGACCAGAGCGGUACAAACACAAAAAGCGCAAGGAGAUACUUUGAUACAGAUGCGGAAGUCGGAUCAGACAAGACCAGUAGCGACCAGUGCAGGAUGUCCUAGGAAAGUCCAGAGGGAAGGAGAACAAAGCGAUUUUGAAGAGUUGUAAAUCGACAGGGCGACGUCGCCGAAACGAGCUCUUUCGCUCUCGAUUUGAUUAGGUGGCAGUGAAUCUCUUCAAAUGUGUAACAAAAGGGAGGAGAGAGGAGACCACGACGACUCGCAAAGUGAUUUACUUUACGGAGCUCUCAGGUGAGGGGAAGCAAAGCACCUAAGUGAAGGAAGGUGCAGGCACUUCAGUCUGGAAGUGUGUUGCCCAUUGAUGAGGGCAAUUGUUCUAGGAUGCAGUCUGCAGAUCGUACGGGGAGGGAGCGCGCUGGAUAGCAGUUGUCGGGAGAGAUAAAUUGAAGACUAUCAGAUUACCCUCCAAUGGCGGGAGGGGGGAGAUGUUGGAUCAAGCCCAAUUGGAGGCCAAAACCUAUUGACGGGCCCCAAAGACAAAGCCCCAUAACUUACCAUGUUGCUCCUUCUUCUAGAUGCACAAGAUUGUGUGCUAUGGUCAGAGCAAAAGUUCUCUGAUAGCUGCAGGAGGAGAGAGAAAGAAAUGGAAAAGAGAGAGAAGGAAAGCUGCUGAUGUCGAGGUGCUCUCCAUUGUCAAAGAUGGAGCCAACCUUUCUCUAUAUAAGAACUGUUGAGAGCAAAGCCAAAGAGUGAGAGGAGGAAAGAGAAAUGGGCAAGUGUAGAGAAAUUCUUAUAGUUAAAGAGUACAGCGCGGCUGGAGAGAAGAGAGCAAGGACUGAGAGAUUGAGAGAUGAGAUGAUUGAUGUGAGUUUGAGUUGUGAUUUUCUCAUUGUAAUUUAUUGUAAUUCAUUCCAUGGCUAGUGAAUUAUCAGAUCCUCUCCGUAGAUGUAGAGGUAUUGUUGGCCGAACCACGUAAAUCUUGCUUGUGUGUGGUUUAUGUCGUAGAGUUAGAGUGGACUGGUACUCAUUUUAGGGGCACAACAAUAAUAUCCAUUAAAAGCAUAUUCGACCUGGGUCUGCUUAUGGUAACCCAGCAGUCAUUCCCCACAUAGAGGAGCAUAAGCAUCAGGGCCAACAAAUCAAGCACCUCAUUGGACACCAACCGGUAGUACAACAAGAGGUCGGCGCACCGAAUCACUCUCACCGCCUUCACCGUUAACAGUUCCGGGUCGCCGGGUCCGGUCCCCACCAGGAACACGUUCCCUGGCCCCCUCCCCCUCUCCCCUCGCCAGUACUAUCUCUCUUCUCUCUCAGUACCUCCAGCAGCCGCUUCAACUCCGGCAGUUGCGCCGCUAUCUCGUGGUCCCGGAUCGAACCCGGAUCCGGCGCGACCGGGCACGAAUCGGGCUGCUCCAACUGGCUCUUGUACACCCAAUUGUCCCUGUUAUACCGCUCAAUCGAGUGUUUUUCUGUGAAGGGUGAGGGAGUGAGGAGAAUUUGAAGUGCAAUGUAUGGACGAACUGGGUUUAAUAGUGAAAGGAAUUGGUUUUCUGAAUUUGGGUGAAGAUGAUGAGACAGAGGUAAGUUUCUGACAAGAGCCAUCUCAUUUAAAUUUUAGGAAUGGUGCUUGAGAUGGGUAUAGUUAAAACUUAUUAAAGCCACGGAGAGAGAGUGUACAAAUGUAUAUGUCCCAUAUAGAGAGGCAGAUACAUGGAGAGAAGAGAAGCAGAGAGUAGAGGAGUUUCGAUUUGGAGUCUUUACUAUUUUUGUGGAGGAUUAAAGGAUGGCGGCUCUUUUUGCCUCUUGGGGGUUUUGAGAGGAACAUGCCCUUUACAGAGAUUUAAGUAUGAGAAAUUUUAUUGUCUAUAGUUGGACAAUUACACCACUAAUCUAGUAGCCAAUAACGUUAUUUGGAAUUAGGCUUCAUUUGGCAAUAGCUUUUUUAAAUUUUUUUCCUGACUUUUUGGCUUAAAAUAAGUAAAAAAAUCAAUCAGAGUUGGUUUUUUUACUUUUUUAUUUUUGCUUUUUUACUUAAUUUUAGCUAAAGUAAAGUUACAAAAGCAAAAAGUCAAAAAUUCUUGACUUUUUUGAUAGCUAGCUUAAAAAAAACUUGGCUUAUAAGCAUUACCAAACCGGCUAACUUUUCUGAACUAUUUUAGCUGCUUUAAUUUAUAAGUUUUUUUAUUUUAGUGUAUUUUUUACCGAUUUAUUAAAUUUUAUACUUUUUAAAUUCUUCUUGAUGAUAGAAUCUAAAAUGUUAAAAUUUUAUUCAAAUUCAAUAAAAUAGUUCAUUGAAUAUAAAAAAAAAAAUCAAAAAUCAAAACAACCAAAAUUGCUUUAAGAAAAAAUUUGUAAAAUUU
rnacentral:lncRNA from 1 species